rnacentral:rRNA from 1 species
GAGUUUGAUCCUGGCUCAGAUUGAACGCUGGCGGCAUGCCUUACACAUGCAAGUCGAACGGCAGCACGGGAGCUUGCUCCUGGUGGCGAGUGGCGAACGGGUGAGUAAUGCAUCGGAACGUAUCCUGGAGUGGGGGAUAACGUAGCGAAAGUUACGCUAAUACCGCAUAUUCUGUGAGCAGGAAAGCGGGGGACCUUCGGGCCUCGCGCUCUUGGAGCGGCCGAUGUCGGAUUAGCUAGUUGGUGAGGUAAAGGCUCACCAAGGCGACGAUCCGUAGCAGGUCUGAGAGGAUGAUCUGCCACACUGGAACUGAGACACGGUCCAGACUCCUACGGGAGCAGCAGUGGGAAUAUUGGACAAUGGGCGAAAGCCUGAUCCAGCCAUGCCGCGUGUGUGAAGAAGGUCUUCGGAUUGUAAAGCACUUUAAGUUGGGAGGAA